CCUACGGGUGGCUGCAGUGGGGAAUAUUGGACAAUGGGGGCAACCCUGAUCCAGCCAUGCCGCGUGUGUGAAGAAGGCCCUCGGGUUGUAAAGCACUUUCAGUGAGGAAGAACGCCUGGUGGUUAAUACCCAUCAGGAAAGACAUCACUCACAGAAGAAGCACCGGCUAACUCCGUGCCAGCAGCCGCGGUAAUACGGAGGGUGCGAGCGUUAAUCGGAAUUACUGGGCGUAAAGCGCGCGUAGGUGGCUUGAUAAGCCGGUUGUGAAAGCCCCGGGCUCAACCUGGGAACGGCAUCCGGAACUGUCAAGCUAGAGUGCUGGAGAGGAAGGUAGAAUUCCCGGUGUAGCGGUGAAAUGCGUAGAGAUCGGGAGGAAUACCAGUGGCGAAGGCGGCCUUCUGGACUGACACUGACACUGAGGUGCGAAAGCGUGGGUAGCAAACAGGAUUAGAUACCCCUGUAGUC
rnacentral:rRNA from 1 species